AGGUGGCGUGGGAGGCGGUGAAAAGGUAAACUUAUCCCAACUUUAUGCAAAUCACCAGCAGCGACCGCUGGGCGAUGACCAAUCAUAUCGAGUGGUUUCCAUGACGAAUUUGACGCUAUGGGACCCAAGGCUGGAGACUUUCUUCAGCAAAGAUGGCUGACAAAAAUACUAAGAUGGUAGGAAAUGGACUCCUGAAACAACCAGCAAACCAGGCGGUCAUCUUGUUAAACAGUGGAUGUAAAGAAUCUAGCUAGCUAAAGCAUUUACUGCAAAUUGAAUGUACAAUUUUGUAAGCUUGCCUUGCUGAUAUUUGCCAUGCAAUGCAGAUGAAGUAAUGUAGCUAGCUAACAAUUUUAUUUUUGCUUAUUGCGCAGUGGAGGAUAAAAAAUACCUGUAUGCCAUAUUAGUUCAGAACCUAGCUAUGAACCUCAGCUUUCAUAGCCAGUUGUAUCAACUUCAAAACAGUCUGAAUGACAUUAAUGAAGCCUAUGGUUAAGUAGAAUAUAAUAUAACUUUGUACAAAGGAUGCCCACAUUGUAGCCUGUACUUUUUAAUAUAGUCACUGAUCAUGUACACUACCUUGGCAAAUAAAUGUGCAGCUCAGGUA